ACCCAGAGGAAUGGGAGAAGGGAACACCAUGGAUGGAGGAUGUGGCUUGGUGGAUUGUUCCUGAAGAAGGGCUGCGAGAGCAGAGGCACACAGAGGAGCACUGGGAAAUGUUCCUAUUGAUCGGAAAUGAAUAAUUAUCACCCGCUCCCCGUUCCAGGGGCUCACAGUGAGCGGAAGAGCGGAAGCACUAAGCAGGAUUAAUAACUACUUUUCAUUACUUUUAAUGCAAACUAUUGAUUUUAAAGUGUUGUAGGGUAUGACAGUUUAUUACAAUAAGACAAUAAAACAGACUAUAUGAAAUAAU